ensembl:lncRNA
UAUUAGCAAAGAAAUCACACACAAAAGUUCUGUUAAUGCCUACUGUGUAAAUAUAUUAGAUAGAUUACUGAAAAAAAUAAUAAUAAAAAUAAAUAAAAAUAAAUAAAUCAUCCUAGAGCUGUACCAAAGAUCCUUAGAUGUAACAAAAAUAAAGUUACUCUCUAUCCAGAGUCUCCAGCAGUGACAUUUUUGGCCUGUAGGUGGUAGUGCAGCACUGCAGUUCGGUUCUGAUGAGGCGUAGCAUUCUGAUUCUUGUAAUGUAAAGCUUUCCAUUGGUCCAAGAUUCACACAUCUUAGUUUCAGUUUCAUGUGAAAUGUGAUGUGUCUGAUGGAAUGUUACAAUGGGAUAACAUCCAAUUUUAUUUUUUUUCAGCAGCUGAAUGAGUUGAAUCAAAAGCCAUAAUCAGGUUUGUUCAUUCAAGCAUUUCAGAGGCAUGUGAACUGAGAUUUCCCAUAAUAAAACAAUAACCAGGAUUAGCAACAUCAGGAGCUGAGCAAUUUUUGACAUCAGAGCUGUAGAUGAAUGGGAAUGCUAACAAUUUUUUUUUUUUUUUUUAAUUUACUCACUCUUUUAGAUGGUCUUUAAUUUGUGUUCAGUGUGGUCUCUCUCUCUCUGUUUUUGCUUUCCUCCACCCCACUUCACUGAUGUGUGAAGGAUUUCAUCCACUCUGAAGAUGCAGAUAUACACCUCUAAUGAAGGACACCAGUGGUUUGUUAUCCUGCCCUCUCCUCACCAGUCUAAAGGAUGAACAUCUUUCAACUCAAUUUGAGCUGUGUGGCUCAACAGGCAGAAUGUGAGGUGAUUAUUAAACACCAGUGCAAUCUCCCCAGCCUGGAUAAAGCUGGAUAAAGGGAACAGGUAUGUGGUAGAAUCCUGUUUUCUCCUCCACACCAUCCUCCACUUCUUCAUUACAGACUGCGGCAUGGCACCUACUUGAAAGUCCACACGCAUCUCCCGCUCUCCGUGCUCCUGCGCAACCAGGAAUACCUUUAUUAAAUCAGAAAGGGAAGAAAUCUAAUUUAGGCUUGAUAUCAUGAACAGCAAUGUCCCUCGUCUGCCAUGAUUUCUUGUGAGAACAUUUUUC